GAAGCCUGUAUAGGACCUUUUUGCAAAGCAGCGUCAAGCCCCCCAAUAAAACACCGUAUGAUUUAUUUGUUAUUCGGACUUUAUGCGCUAUGGAGAAGUCGCAUGAUCGACAGGCACGCCGAGCCACCACGAUCGACGAG
rnacentral:lncRNA from 1 species